AUAACCGGGGAAUAACUCUUCGAAAGAAGAGCUAAUACCGCAUAACAUCAUGAAGUGGCAUCACAUUAUGAUUAAACCUACGGGGGUUAUAGAUGAGCAUGCGUCCGAUUAGCUAGUUGGCGAGGUAACGGCUCACCAAGGCAACGAUCGGUAGGGGUUCUGAGAGGAAGAUCCCCCACACUGGUACUGAGACACGGACCAGACUCCUACGGGAGGCAGCAGUAAGGAAUAUUGGACAAUGGGCGCAAGCCUGAUCCAGCCAUGCCGCGUGCAGGAUGAAGGUGUUAUGCACUGUAAACUGCUUUUACUUGGGAAAAAACCCCUGCUUUCCAGCGGGGCUGAUUGUACCGAGAGAAUAAGGGACGGCUAACUUCGUGCCAGCAGCCGCGGUAAUACGAAGGUCCCAAGCGUUAUCCGGAUUUAUUGGGUUUAAAGGGUGCGUAGGCGGGCUAUUAAGUCAGUGGUGAAAUCUCCAUGCCUAACAUGGAAACUGCCAUUGAUACUGAUGGUCUUGAGUACAUUUGAAGUGGGCGGAAUGUGUCAUGUAGUGGUGAAAUACUUAGAUAUGACACAGAACACCGAUUGCGUAGGCAGCUCACUAAACUGUAACUGACGCUGAGGCACGAAAGCGUGGGGGGCAAACAGGAUUAGAUACCCUGGUAGUCCACGCCCUAAACGAUGAUCACUAGAUGUGUGCGAUACACUGUACGCGUCCAAGCGAAAGCAUUAAGUGAUCCACCUGGGGGGUACGGCCGCAAGGCUGAAACUCAAAGGAAUUGACGGGGGCCCGCACAAGCGGAGGAGCAUGUGGUUUAAUUCGAUGAUACGCGCGGAACCUUACCAGGGCUUGAAAGUUAAGGAAUGAUGUAGAAAUAUGUCAGUCAGCAAUGACCUAAAACUAGGUGCUGCAUGGCUGUCGUCAGCUCGUGUCGUGAGAUGUUGGGUUAAGUCCCGCAACGAGCGCAACCCCUAUCUUUAGUUGCCAGCACGUAAUGGUGGGGACUCUAGAGAGACUGCCCGCGUAAGCGGUGAGGAAGGUGGGGAUGACGUCAAGUCAUCACGGCCCUUACGUCCUGGGCUACACACGUGCUACAAUGGCCGACACAGAAGGCAGCUACACAGUAAUGUGAUGCUAAUCCCCAAAGUCGGUCUCAGUUCGGAUCGAGGUCUGCAACCCGACCUCGUGAAGCUGGAUUCGCUAGUAAUCGCGCAUCAGCCAU
rnacentral:rRNA from 1 species